rnacentral:rRNA from 1 species
CGAACUAACGCUGGCGGCGUGCCUAACACAUGCAAGUCGUACGAGAAAGCCGGCUUCGGCUGGUGAGUAAAGUGGCGCACGGGUGAGUAACGCGUGGAUAAUCUGCCCUUAAGUGUGGAAUAACGUACCGAAAGGUGCGCUAAUACCGCAUAAUGCCUGGCAACACAAGUUGUCCGGCCAAAGAAGGCCUCUGUUUACAAGCUUUCGCUUCAGGAUGAGUCCGCGUACCAUUAGCUUGUUGGGUGGGGUAAUGGCCUACCGAAGGCUGCGAUGGUUAGCUGGUCUGAGAGGAUGAUCAGCCACACUGGAACUGAGACACGGUCCAGACUCCUACGGGAGGCAGCAGUGAGGAAUAUUGCGCAAUGGGGGCAACCCUGACGCAGCAACGCCGCGUGAGGGAUGACGGCCUUCGGGUUGUAAACCUCUUUCAGCAGGGAAGAAGCGAAAGUGACGGUACCUGCAGAAGAAGCACCGGCUAACUACGUG